GUUGCGAUCCCUCUAGGGGUGAUGAGCGGAC
rfam:Thermobispora bispora DSM 43833, complete genome.